AUGGGACAUGAUGUGCUCGAGCAUAUACUUGAUGGCACAGAGGAGCCGACGAAUCUACCGUUCGAGCUUCUGAAGAACAUCACUGGAAAUUUCUCCGAAGAGAGAGAAAUCGGUCAUGGUGGAUUCGGAAUGGUUUACAAGGGUGUACUCCGAAAUGGGAUUGUUGCUGUGAAGAGGAUUUUCAGCCACCACACAAUCAAUGAAAGGUUAUUUUAUCGUGAAGUUAACAGUCUAUUGAAUGUUAACCAUGAAAAUGUAGUCCGGUUUCUUGGCUACUGUGCUUGUACUGAAGAAAAGGCCAUGAGAAUUGAAGGAGUAAGUGAAUAUAUUUAUGCCGAGAUAAGAGAAAGACUGCUAUGUUUUGAGUAUAUUAGCAACGGAAGCCUUCGUGGAUAUAUUACUGACGAGUUAAGCAGACUUGAAUGGAAUACACGUUAUCAGAUAAUAAAACAAAUUUGUCAUGGUUUGCAUUACCUACACAAGGAAAAGACUAUUCUUCACAUGGAUUUGAAACCUGACAAUAUACUUUUGGAUAACAACAUGGUGGCCAAAAUCUCGGACUUUGGAUUAUCAAGACUGGAUGAAAAAUCACAAACAAUGGAUGCAAAACGUUGUGUAACAUUAGGAUAUUGCUCUCCGGAAUAUCUACUUGGUGGUAAGAUGUCAGUCAAAUCUGACAUGUAUAGCUUGGGUGUAAUGAUCAUUGAGCUGGUGACGGGAUAUAAAGAUAUCCCUGACAACAAUAAUGUACUGAGAAGAUGGAGACACAGAUGGAAUAAAUCACAGAAGGAAACACCAUGGUCUUACCAGAUAUUACAAAUAACUAAAUGCAUCGGAAUAGGGCUACAUUGUCAGGAAAGUGACCCAUACAGACGGCCAUUUAUACAGGACAUAAUACAUGAUAUGAACGGAAAUGAAGGUACUUUUGGACAAAACAGCAACGCUGAUGGAUUUUAUGCUGACCAGACAAGGCCUUGUUGGGAUGACGAUAUGCUUGAUAUUGAGCCGCUCAAGCUACAUUUUCAGUUCGAACUUAACAAGGAGAUAUCAUGCCUACUUAAUCUAGACAACAGUACAACUGCUGCCAUUGCCUUCGCUAUACAAUCGGUGAGCCCGAUGCCAUACUGCAUACAACCAAACAAAGGAAUUGUUCUACCACUAUCCAGGUGUGCCAUUGUGAUAACAUUAGAGUCACAAAGUAUGCCACCAAAGGACAUGCAACACCUGGGUGAGUUCGUCGUACAGAGCGCCAAAAUAAUUGAUGGAGUUACACCUGAGGAGAUAACGUCGGACAUGUUCAAUAAAGUGUCUGGUGAAGUGGUUGAUGAGGUGAACGUGGAUGCUAUUUUUGAACUGGCACUACUACUUGAGGAAAGUUAA
rnacentral:rRNA from 1 species